UACGAAGGGGGCUAGCGUUGCUCGGAAUUACUGGGCGUAAAGCGCACGUAGGCGGCUUCUUAAGUCGGUGGUGAAAUCCUGGAGCUCAACUCCAGAACUGCCUUCGAUACUGGGGAGCUCGAGUCCGGGAGAGGUGAGUGGAACUGCGAGUGUAGAGGUGAAAUUCGUAGAUAUUCGGAAGAACACCAGUGGCGAAGGCGACUAACUGGACAUGUAUUGACGCUGAGGUGCGAAAGCGUGGGGAGCAAACAGG
rnacentral:rRNA from 1 species